rnacentral:rRNA from 1 species
UAAUUUGAGAGUUUGAUCCUGGCUCAGGACGAACGCUGGCGGCGUGCCUAAUACAUGCAAGUCGAACGAACUCUGGUAUUGAUUGGUGCUUGCAUCAUGAUUUACAUUUGAGUGAGUGGCGAACUGGUGAGUAACACGUGGGAAACCUGCCCAGAAGCGGGGGAUAACACCUGGAAACAGAUGCUAAUACCGCAUAACAACUUGGACCGCAUGGUCCGAGCUUGAAAGAUGGCUUCGGCUAUCACUUUUGGAUGGUCCCGCGGCGUAUUAGCUAGAUGGUGGGGUAACGGCUCACCAU